rnacentral:rRNA from 1 species
GUGGGGAAUAUUGGGCAAUGGGCGAAAGCCUGACCCAGCAACGCCGCGUGAAGGAAGAAGGUUUUCGGAUUGUAAACUUCUGUCCUCAGGGAAGAAGGAAGUGACGGUACCUGAGGAGGAAGCCCCGGCUAACUACGUGCCAGCAGCCGCGGUAAUACGUAGGGGGCGAGCGUUGUCCGGAAUGACUGGGCGUAAAGGGCGCGUAGACGGCUGUCUAAGUCUGGAGUGAAAGUCCUGCUUUCAAGGUGGGAAUUGCUUUGGAGGCUGGAUGGCUUGAGUGCGGAAGAGGUAAGUGGAAUUCCCAGUGUAGCGGUGAAAUGCGUAGAGAUUGGGAAGAACACCAGUGGCGAAGGCGACUUACUGGGCCGUAACUGACGUUGAUGCGCGAAAGCGUGGGGAGCGAACAGGAUUAGAUACCCCUGUAGUCC